AUGGCCUCCGCCGUCGUUUGCAAGGGCGAGGGUGCCGCGCCGGCGGCCAGCCUCCUCAAGUCCGCUGCUCCCGUGGCCUUCGGCGCGGUCCACUCCCCCGCCGUCGCCGCCGCCCGCCGCCCGUACAACACCCGGGUCAAGGAGGUCAGCCGCUACGACGACGACGACGACGACUACAGCGGUUGCGACCUCGUCAUCCCCAGCUUCUUCUCGCAGGACGUGCUCGACCCGCUCGGCGCGCCGACCAGCAUGGCCCGUCUGCUGUCUCUGAUGGAGGACGUCGCAACUCAGAACGGCAGCCUCUCCUCCACUGCUGGUGCUGGGGCGUCGCGGCUCUGA
rnacentral:rRNA from 1 species